AGAAUAAAAUUUGCCUCAAAUUCUCACUCACAGUUAAAGUCAUUAUUCAGAAAUUAAAGGAAUAAACAAUGAGAUAGAUCCACUUUCCCAUUAGGUGUUAAUUCCAAAUAAUGGAAUUAAUGGGCCUGACUCCAAAAAAGCUAACUGCAAGUUCCAAAUCCAUGAUCCCUGGUUUACAGUGGUUAACUGUAGCACUGUUAAGCAAAAUACAGAAUGUAAUUCCAUGUAUUUUAGCCCUAUUAUUUCAUAAAGUUUCUUAUAUGGAAAGACUGGACGAAAAGGAAAUGCAGUCAGAUAAGUUAAUGUGCAUAGAGGAGAUACUUCAAAUCUUUAGGACCUUUGUAGUUAAUUCAAACAUUGUUCGCUGAUAUUUUCUUCUCAAACAACAAAAUUCCAGUUCUCUAGCUAGGUACAUUAACUCUGAACAUAAACAGAAGCAUUCUAUGCAGAUUCAGUUGUCUGACACUCUCAGACUUGCAAGUUUGUUUUUUUUUUUACAUGGGACAUUAUUCUUCAAUGCCAGAAGAAAAAAUUUGUCUCCAUCCUGAUCAGAUAUGAAAACAAGGCUUUUCCCCUCCGUGUGCCACAGUAGAUACAAAGUUUGGGGAAAAAAAUAAUAUCUGGGGAAAAGAGAAGUGUUAUUUGUGUUAUUUGCUUGUGGCCCAAACACAGCUUUAAUGAGGUAGAAUAAAUGUCUUAAAGCAGAAAAACAGUUUUAAUCUGCCGACUCUGUUUCUAAAACACAGGAUUAAUUCUAACAUUUCUGCUCAGCCCAUUUGCUUGUCCUGAGAUGCAUGUAUUAUAGCUACAGGGCAACAACAAACAAAAUGCAUAAAGGACUUGCAGAGUGCACAGUCUAAUUAGCAUUGCAAGAGAAAAAGGUGACAGAACACACUUUGACUCCUGAAGCAUCCUGGUCUGGGAGCACUGACAGGCGUGCUGGCAUUUUCCAUUGUGCUGAAGCUUUGCUUUGCUUUGCAGUUGGAAGCUCUUUGGGAGAGCAGAGAUGGUGAUCAAAGAAAGGGCACAGUUCUCUCUGGGUACAAGCAUCUCUGUUCUGCAAGCUGAGCUCAAACCUAUUAAAUCUCACAGGACACCAUCUUCUGUCCUAUGAAAAGCACGUAAGGGGCACUCUGGGAUAGUUCAGCAGAAGACUUCUAUCUAUCUUUCUAUUAUAACAGCCUAUUUGGAUUUUAGUCAGCAGGAUUGUGGCUGUGGUGCACAACACUGCUAUCAUGGCAGACUGUGCUCACAAAUCCAGGAGGUCCACCUGAAGUAAAAGAGACAGGUUUGUGUAAAAGCUGGGAGAAGCAGCAGGAGUGGCUGUACAGAGAGCCCCAAAGAGAGCUUCACACCCCCACCCAGGACCUGCUUACAGCGUCAUGUCAAGAAUGGAUUCUGCUUAUCCUGACAUUUCAUUCCUGUGAGAGGAGAUGUUCAGCUGCAAAAGGCAGAAGUGUCAGGAAGUAUCUCUCUAAACAUUUUGUCACCAGGGAGAAGUGAAGAGGGAAGGCUUUCAGAAGCUGC